CUGUACUCCCCCUUCUUGGUUUUUUUACUAAUUUUUUUAUGUUUUGAUGUGCUCUUUCUACUAUGCCCUGUCCUGUGGGAUUGUGUGGGACCCCAGUGGUAUGGUGUACCCCCCAUUCUUCAAGAAAUAUUCUUGUGUCGGCUGAAACAUAGGAGGGUCCGUUGUCAGUUUGUAUUUGCUUAGGGACACCCAUCCUAGCAAACGCAGAUAAGAAAUGUUUUUUCACAUCCCUGCUUUUUUCACCAGGAUGCACGGUGGCUACAAUAAUUUUUGAAAAUGUGUCAAUAGACACAUGCACAUAUUUUAAUUUUCCAAAUUCUGGUAUGUGUGUGACAUCUGACUGCCAAAUCUCCAAUGCUGUUAAUCCUCUAGGGUUAGCUCCUUCUGGAACUAAUGGAGCAACCAUUUGGCAGUCAGGGCACGCUUUUAGAAUUUCUUUUGCUUGUGCCAAUUUUAGACUGAAUUGUUUCUGUAACAACCGUGCAUUUUGGUGAAAAAAUUCGUGGGAGAUUUUCACCUGUUGGUAUAAAUUAGGGGUAACGACCAUACCUGCUAGAUGGUCAGCAAUCUGGUUUCCCUCUGCUACAGGACCUGGCAAAGUAGUAUGAGACCUCGUGUGGACAAUAUAAUAUUCAAAUUUCCUGUUCUGAAUUAAAAAUAGCAAAUUCUUUAGCAGAUUAAAGAAUUUUUCAUUUGAGACUUCUUUUAGGUAUGAAUUUUCAAUUCUUUUAACAAUGCCCACAACAUAAGCCGAAUCUGACACAAUAUUAAUUGCUUCAUUGUUGAAAAUUUCAAAGGCGCGAACAACUGCUGACAAUUCCACGAUUUGUGGAGAACCUUGGGCUUUGUGAAUAUUCUGUUGCCAAUUGCCAUUUUCUCGCCAAACAAUUACCACAUUUCCGGUUCUCCCAGACCCAUUGGUGAAAAGCGUUUUGGCAUCUUUUAUUGGAAUAUCUGAUUCCAUAAUUUUCAAUUUUAAAGGAAUUGGGAUCAAUCUCUGUAAAAAUUGGCACGCCAGGAGGUGAAAUUUGACUUCUCAUGGGUAACCCCCGAUGGCAAUCUGAAAAUCUGUGGAAUUCUGCAUCAGUUGUUCCAGAUGUUCAGAAAUCAGUGGGAGCUAAAUGCAACUUGGCUCCUCUCCACUGAGUUCCAAACACCUGGUGCAUCCUUUAAAAAUCAAUUUCCCAAUCAUUUCAGCCAACGUAACAAUGGUUUUUGAGAAUUGAUGUGGGAGGAAUAUCCACUCCCACAAACAGAAGUCCUUUGUAUCAUGUAUGAAUUGGCCCAGAAUGGCCAGUGGUUGUCUCUGUUCUCUGAUGAUGACUAGUGAAGAUGGCAGUCCCUCCAUCUUCCUAUAUGCCUGUCUCUCUGAAAUUUUCUUUUCAACUGUGGAAAGGGCUUUUUCAGCUUCAGAUGUUAAAAAUCUGGGGGAGGACAAGUCUGCAUCUCCUCUUAGCAGCUCAAAUAAGGGAUGCAAAUCACCGGUUGUGAUCUCCAAUACCGGUCAGAUCCAAUUGAUCGCUCCCAACAGUUUCUGGAGUUCAUUUAAAGUUCAGACUUUUCUGUCAAUCAAAACUGAUUGAGGUUUAACAGUUUUAGAAGUAAUUUGGAGUCCGAGAUACCUCCAUGGUGCUUCCCAUUGCACUUUCUCAGGGGAUACUUCCAAUCCUUUGGAAUUUGGGGCUGAAAUUGUCGAAUUUAAAGUUUGUUCAACUGCCAGUUUUAGAGGUCUUUCUGGGGAGGAGGCGGAGCUGGAGGGAGAGGGCAUGCGUGUGGGCGUGUUGAGGGAGGGAUCUCUGACACGCGCAGGUGGAGGCGGAGGCAGUCUGGAGGGUGGUACCAAGGGGACCUACCCUCUCUUUUCCCGCACUGGUGUCUCCCGCGGCAACUUUUCCCGCCUUCGCUCCUUGCACUUUCUGCCUCCCUCCUUCCCGAUGGCAUUUUGUGCACGUCGUGAUGUGGUCUUUUCUUCCCUCCCGCCAUCUUAUGUCUGCUGAAUCUUGUGUGUCGUGGUCGUUUUCGGUUUGGUAGUGGAUAUCUCAUGGAGGCUGUCAUCUGUGUUCAUCAUCUGGUGCUGUAGCACCCUCAGAACAAGCCUCCAGGCAAUUAAGGCUUCUUUUGCUGUCCAGUCCCCCCUGUCAUUAUCUUGCCAUAAGCUAUACUCGAUGGCCUGCCACUGGUCCACAGAGGUCUCCUCUGUAAGUAUGUGACCCUUGUGGUCAAGCCACUUGGCGAGUGCUUUGGAGGAUUUUUUAUUGAGGGGGUGAUCGUGCUCAAUGAUAAAAUCUUUCAGACGUCUGUAGAUGAAUUUCUGGGAGGUGGACAGCGAGAGUCCCAUGGUGUUACAGAGACUUCUGUGAUUGUCCUUGAUGUUACUAUUCCUCCCUUUUUUCUUUUUUCUGGAUGUGGGUUGCUGGGGGAAGUGGAAUGUCCCCAGCUGCUCACCUCUCUGGUGCUCCGACCCGUGCGACUCUGCAGCCCACAGUUGUCUGUCCAGCUGGGGGGGACCGGCAGGAUGAUCACCUCUCCUGGUGAUCUCUGAGCCCAAGUGAGCAGGCAGGAGUUCUCGCAAUAUGAGAGACCUUCAACUGCACCCCACGUUGGGCGCCAUCUGCCACGGCCCGAGGG